AUGGCUGGUGCCAGUGUAGUCGCUUCUUGUAGACUGGUCAUCAUGGCUUUCAUGGCCGUGGCAACGGCAGCGUCCGUGCCGGCAGUGUACGUGUUCGGCGACUCGCUGGCCGACGUCGGAAACAACAACCACCUGCUGACGGUGCUCAAGGCAGACUUCUCGCACAACGGCAUGGACUACCCGGGCGGGGUGGCCACCGGCCGUUUCAGCAACGGCAAGAACUCCGCCGACUUCCUAGCCGAGAAGCUCGGGCUGGCGACCUCGCCACCGUACCUGGCCCUGUCCUCGAGCAGCAACGCCAACUACGUCAACGGCGUCAGCUUCGCUUCUGGUGGCGCAGGAGUCUCCAACGCCACAAAUACGGAACUGUGCAUCACCUUCGACAAGCAGAUCGAGUACUACUCGGGCGUGUACGCUUCCCUGGCGCGCAGCCUUGGCCAGACCCAGGCCACAACCCACCUGGCCAAGUCCAUCUUCGCCAUCACCAUCGGCAGCAACGACAUCAUCCACUACGCCAGGGCCAACACCGCCGCCACACCCUCCCAGCAGCAGCAGUAUGUCGACGCGCUCAUCCAGUCCCUCUCCGGCCAGCUGCAGAGCCUCUACAACCUCGGCGCGCGCAAGGUGCUGUUCCUCGGCACGGGGCCCGUGGGCUGCACCCCGUCGCUGAGGGAGAUUAGCUCCACCAAGGUCUGCAGCGCCGUGGCCAACGCCAUGGCCGUGCAGUACAACAAGGCGGCCGAGGGCGUGCUGAACGGCAUGACCACGCAGCACGGGGACCUGCACUACGCGCUCUUUGACUCCUCCGCCGCGCUGCUCCGGUACAUCGACCAGCCGGCGGAGUACGGGUUCACCGAGGCCAAGGCGGCAUGCUGCGGCCUGGGGGACAUGAACGCCAAGAUCGCCUGCACCCCGCUCAGCAGCUACUGUGCCAACCGCUCCGACCACGUCUUCUGGGACUUCUACCACCCCACGGAGGCCACCGCGAGGAUGCUCACCGCCACUGCCUUCGACGGGUCCACGCCUUUCAUCUUCCCUAUCAACGUAAAGCAGCUCAGCGCCAUAUAG
rnacentral:rRNA from 1 species